GCCAAGGCCUGGACCAAGCUGAACCUCCUUUCUGACCACAGCCCUUCGGCUCCAAUGUUGGAUUCCAGCACAGGCCAGCGGAAAGGGCAAGAGGGCUAAAAAAGGCCAGCUUCCUGUGGUUCACUACCCUCGAGUAAAUAGCAAUCAUCUGCUGCUAGAAGUGAGAGCAAGGCUCAUUGCAAAGAGGUAUGGCAAAAGAAUUCCUGAAAAGUAACCUCUAGCCCCAAGUGUCCAACUGCACUUGUGCCACUGGGGCUGUUCAGCACUGCAGCUGUAGAUGAAGGCAUCACCCUCCCUUCAAACUCUCAGCACACUGGAUUUCAGAAAUCAAGGGAAAGAAAAAAACAAGCCAGCUGUAUACCAUUGUACUUCAGCCUUCAAAGAAAGGAAAAGAAGUUCUGGGUUCACAACCAACAUUCACCACAGGUAAUAAAUACUGAAUUAGAUGCCUCAGACCUCCAGCUCUGAUCUGUUCACAAAAAGCCAUUUGCUUUUCAGUGACAAGACAAAAGCACUCCUAAAACCUUAAUGGAGGCCAUCAAAUCAAAAUGGAAAAAUUCAUCAGAAACACAAAUACCUUCACAGGAAAUAUGAUGGUAAGUGGAAAACCAUUGAGUAACUCCUGGAGUUACUGCAAUCCUGACCUGCUGCAGUUCGAGAUUGCUUCUGUUCAUACAACUGAGGCCACGGCCAAAUGAUUCUUUCCAUUCUGAAGGACUCCAAAAACUUCAUCACCAGGGACCUGUUGGGCACCAGGAGUGUUUGCUCUUAACCAGUGUGAGAUAGUUUCUAACAUGCCUGGGGUGUAGCUGAAAAGGAAGGGCUGGCUUCAGGUCAGGGACAAUCUGGACAGGCAGAAAUGGUUAAGGGGAAGUAGUCCUACCUCAGUUCUCUCCAGGAAAGUUCUAUAAGGAACAGUUCCACAAGAAAUUUUUACAUAAAUAUUACGUCUCUUACCAAGAUUUGGGUCAUAACCCAAACCACAAGCCUCUACUUUGGAGAUAUUUUUGGCUCUCUACAAUUAUCUUCUUUACA